rnacentral:rRNA from 1 species
UACGUAGGGGGCAAGCGUUGUCCGGAAUCAUUGGGCGUAAAGCGCGUGUAGGCGGCUUGGUAAGUCUGCUCUGAAAGCCCGGGGCUCAACCCCGGGAGGCGGGUGGAUACUGUCAAGCUCGAGUCCGGAAGAGGAGUGUGGAAUUCCUGGUGUAGCGGUGAAAUGCGCAGAUAAUCAGGAGGAACACCAUGGCGAAGGCAGCACUCUGGGACGUGACUGACGCU